UCGCCGAAAGGUGAGUCCUCUGAAUGGGGUUU
rnacentral:sRNA from 1 species